rnacentral:sRNA from 1 species
AGGAGGAGGCUCCGAAAUGACGCGAAGCGGCAUUUAUCGCAUGGAGCCGACGAUAUGCCGCCGAGGCGAAGCUAGGGGGCGAUACCAAGG